CACACAUCAUCUCUGAUCAAGAACAGAUUAAGACUCAGUGUUUUUGUGGAUGAUAUGAUUUAAUCAAGCACCAGCUUUUGGGCUCAAAGCAUGAGAAACAGAAUAAAACUGUGGACUGCACUAUACAGAAGAUACAACAUGGGCCUGUUCACGACUCUGCAAGUGUGCCCCAACUCUAACCAUCUAAACUCCGGACAUCUGAAAAAGUGGGCUGUGCCCAUGA